rnacentral:tRNA from 1 species
GCCGGUAUAACUCAGUUAGCAGAGUGUCAAAUUUGUAAUUUGAAUGUCGUGGGUGCAAUUCCUACUACCGGCU